CCUACGGGAGGCAGCAGUGGGGAAUAUUCCACAAUGGGCGAAAGCCUGAUGCAGCGACGCCGCGUGAACGAAGAAGUAUUUCGGUAUGUAAAGUUCUAUCAGCAGGGAAGAAAAAAUGACGGUACCUGACUAAGAAGCUCCGGCUAAAUACGUGCCAGCAGCCGCGGUAAU
rnacentral:rRNA from 1 species